rnacentral:rRNA from 1 species
AACGAACGCUGGCGGCAUGCCUAACACAUGCAAGUCGAACGAGACCUUCGGGUCUAGUGGCGCACGGGUGCGUAACGCGUGGGAAUCUGCCCUUAGGUACGGAAUAACUCAGGGAAACUUGAGCUAAUACCGUAUAAUGACUUCGGUCCAAAGAUUUAUCGCCUAAGGAUGAGCCCGCGUCGGAUUAGCUAGUUGGUGAGGUAAAAGCUCACCAAGGCGACGAUCCGUAGCUGGCUGAGAGGAUGAUCAGCCACACUGGGACUGAGACACGGACCCAGACUCCUACGGGAGGCAGCAGUGGGGAAGUAUUGGACAAUGGGCGGAAAGACCUGAUGCAGCAAUGCCGCGUGAGUGAUAGAAGGCC